UUAGAUUGUUGAGAUAAAGCAACUAUUCACUAUCAUUUAUUAUGUCACUAUGUAAUUGAUCUGACAUCUAACUUAAGAAUUGUUGUCUUUUGCAACUACUUCAUCCUCUGAAUAUCAAGGAAUCCAUAGACACAAAAGGACAUUAUCCAAGCCGAAGGCGUCAGCAAGUAGGAAAUGACCAAUCUCCUCGUGUAGGUACACCCCAAUCAAAUUCUCAUCAAGAAGGACGAACAAGGUGAUAUCUUUGGAGAUUAAUAUGUGGCAAAAUAACAAAAUUACUUGAGUGCCCCUAUGCAGAUAAAGUUACUAUUAAAGUUGCUUUAAAUAAAAGUAAAUCAAAAUUAAAUUUAAAACAAAACUAAUCACACAAUAAAAUAAAAUAUCUAAUAGAAUUGUAUUAAAUUACAUUUCUCUUAGAAAUCAAUCGAGUGUUGGAGCACCAACCCAGCAAUUCAGUGAGAGUUGAAUAGCUUGCAACUUCUAUCCGAGUUGGAGACUGCAGUAUCUACCAUAAGAUGAUAUACACCAGCUAAGCCUCCAAUUUGGACCCUUCAUUCUGUUGGAGGUUACUCCGAAUUCUCUUCAAGUACAUCAACAUAGCAAUUACCAGAAGAAAGACACUGAAAAGAAGAACAAAAACCAGCAACAAGAUUUCGCCAUGGCGCUCGAAUUUCGGGUCGCUCAAGAAGCGUAGCUCAUCAUUGUGAGGAUUGUUACUACUUGGUACUAUAGAAGAAGCUGAUGAGAAGGGUAACGGUUGAGUAGCCAUGAUGAAGCUUCUGAUAUAUUGUUUUCUUUUUGCUUACGGGCAAGAGAAUCAAGGGGUAUAAGGUAAGGGUUUCAGCAACAAUUGGAGUUUGAAGUGUUCAAUUUUAUUACGUAGCUGGGGGUGACUUGGCUGUAUUAUUGAAACUGACGAGGGAAAGAGAGGCUUGAAAAUGUGCCAAAAUGUUCGGAAGCAGCCAAAUUAAUGUCUCGGAAAUUAUAUGGUUCCAAAUUUAUCGUGCAUGUCCUUAAUUAUGUUUAUG
rnacentral:lncRNA from 1 species